UACGAAGGGGGCUAGCGUUGCUCGGAUUGACUGGGCGUAAAGGGCGCGUAGGCGGAUAGUACAGUCAGGCGUGAAAUUCCUGGGCUCAACCUGGGGGCUGCGUUUGAUACGUAUUGUCUGGAGUUCGGAAGAGGGUCGUGGAAUUCCCAGUGUAGAGGUGAAAUUCGUAGAUAUUGGGAAGAACACCGGUAGCGAAGGCGGCGACCUGGUCCGAUACUGACGCUGAGACGCGAAAGCGUGGGGAGCGAACAGG
rnacentral:rRNA from 1 species